rnacentral:rRNA from 1 species
ACGACGCUGGCGGCUGCUAACACAUGCAAGUCGAGCGGGGUUGAAGCGAGAGGUAACUCGAGCUUCUACCUAGCGGCGGACGGGUGAGUAACGCGUGGGCAACCUGCUCAAGGUUUGGGAUAACAGCCCGAAAGGGCUGCUAAUACCGGAUAUGCCUAUGGCCUCGCAUGGGGCUAUGAGCAAAGGGGAAACCCGCCUUGAGAUGGGCCCGCGUCCCAUCAGCUAGUUGGUGAGGUAACAGCUCACCAAGGCGACGACGGGUAGCCGGCCUGAGAGGGUGACCGGCCACACUGGGACUGAGACACGGCCCAGACUCCUACGGGGGGCAGCAGUGGGGGAUCUUGCACAAUGGGCGAAAGCCUGAUGCAGCGACGCCGCGUGAGCGAAGAAGGCCUUCGGGUUGUAAAGCUCUGUCUGGAGGGACGAACAAAAUGACGGUACCUCCGGAGGAAGCCACGGCUAACUACGUG